UCCUCGGCCUCUCAAAGGUCUGGGAUUACAGGCAUGAGCCACUAUGCCCGGCCUCUAUCUGCAUUUUGUGUUCAGUGUACACUUAUCAGUACAUAAAUUAUCUUGGCUAGUCGUCAUUUCUGUUGUCUAUCUCCAACCACCCCCGAAGCCUUUCAUCUCUAGCUCCCAGAGCUGGGGACUUGUCUUGUUUACUGCCGUAUUCCCAAUGCCUAGAGCUCAUGUGGCAUGCAGCAGGCACUGGCUAUGGGUGGAGGUCUCCAGCUCUGCUCCAGCUCCUGUCCCACACGGUAGUAAUUCCAAUAUCCAAUUGAAGAAUAGAAAGGACUCCCCUGACGCACCAUGGACUCUGGCUGUCAGAGAGGAGAACUAUGAACUCACCUACUCAUUCAUGCUGCCCAGAACCAGAUGCACAAAGAACAAACAAGUUUCCCAGCAGGACUCAAAAUAGAAGGGAUGGUGACUGCAUGCCUUACCAUUCGGGAUCCUCUUCUUCCCGGAGAACUCCGCGCAGGCAGGCUUGGAGAGGGAAUGAAUUGAUCUGGCAUCGUGAAGAUUUGUUCAGCCUUCCCUGAGUGCAUCUUCUGACUCCUGGGGUAGGUAAGAAAUGGAGGGGCUCCUGGAGUCACCUUCAAGGCAGAUGAAGAGGAGCUAUGGAGGCCCUUUGAAGCAUGGCCCCUGGGCAUGGGAUCUGGUGAGAAACCUCCUUCCCAGCUUUGCCACUGAAACCAUGGAUUUUAAACUUCGGCAGAGUUUCCAAGCUUUCAUUUCCCAUCUAUCAAUAGGGAUAAUAAUAAUAAUAUACCUGUAUGACCUUGUUCACAGGUUUGCUGUCAAGGUCAAAUAAGACAAGCAAAAGUACCUUGUAGAUCCAGUAUUAUACUAGUUAAGAAGAAAGACUGGAGCCCAGUGGUCCGGAUUAAGUCCGCACACCUCCCCCAGCUCCACUAUGCACUUGUUGGGUGACCUUGGACAAGUUAUUUAACCUCCCUAUAACUCAGUUUCUUCCUUUACAAAAUAAGAAUGAGACUAGGACUUUCAUCAUAUGGUUAUGAGGAUUCAAAUGAGUUAAAUGUAAAGCACUCAGGCCAGGCGUGGUGGCUCACACCUGUAAUCCCAGCACUUUGGGAGGCUGAGGCAGCAAGAUUG
rnacentral:lncRNA from 1 species